UACGUAGGGUGCGAGCGUUGUCCGGAAUUAUUGGGCGUAAAGAGCUUGUAGGCGGUUUGUCGCGUCUGCUGUGAAAUCUCAAGGCUCAACCUUGAGCUUGCAGUGGGUACGGGCAGACUAGAGUGCGGUAGGGGAGAUCGGAAUUCCUGGUGUAGCGGUGAAAUGCGCAGAUAUCAGGAGGAACACCGGUGGCGAAGGCGG
rnacentral:rRNA from 1 species